rnacentral:pre_miRNA from 2 species
GCACGGAAGAGGAAGAAAGAGAGGUCCUAAGAGCAAUAGGAAUGGGAACAUGAAGGAACGCAAUGCCCUAAUUUCGUUCUUCUAUAUCGUUUGGGUAUGGACAUUUAGACUUGUCGUGUUCCUGAUGCCUCCCAUUCCUAUGGUUCUUAGGUGCUCCUUCCUCUUCCUUUCGCUA